rnacentral:rRNA from 1 species
CCCUCCUCCUCGUCUUGCCGCCACAAGGUAAGCCACUCCACGCCAUAUCCGUCGCCAACGCCAUGCCCAAGCUCUACUCUGGCGCGAUCAAGCUCGUCAUCGUCGUCUUCUUCCUCGGGGAGUGACGCACGCGUCCCCGACUUUGUCCCCGUCUCCGUCCCCGACCGAUUCUUAUGGGUGGCUGGACUGGAUCGCCUCCCACGCUGUCGUCCACGUCUUUGUCUUCUUCCUCUACCUCCUCUACGUCAUGAACGCCGGCUCCUCUGCUUCCCCGUCGUCGACCUCGUACGACUCCAACAGCACCCCCACGUUGCAGGUACAGGUUAUGCGAUGAUCAUGACGCAAGAGCGAUGCUUGUUUGCGUUGAGAUCUUCUUCUGCUCCUUCGAUCAGGGGAUAGGUUCCAGGUCGGUAGCCUGGGCUAGCAGGGUGGAUGUCGUUUGAGUUUCUGUUUGUGUUUCAUCCGUAGUCGGAUGAUCCUCUGAUGUAUUGUGAUGUUGUAUUCAUGUGGCAUCGAUUAUGUAAUGUUGAUGUAAUGAUAUCCACCUUGCAAAAGCGUUUCAAUAUGCGGGUCUAUCCUUGGUGGGACCUUCGAGUUCCUUUUGGAUAGGGUCGCAUAUUGGGCGUGACAAGUUGGUAAUCAGAGCCUCGACCGACCAUAGGAGCCCCCUUGAUUGUUGGCCGUUGUUGAGUCUAGAAGAAAACUAUUUUGAUUCUUAGGAUUAUAUAUAUCGGAGAGUAGGAUUCUUUUUACUCCCCAUCCCCUUCGUCGCUCUGGUGAGGUCUCCUGACGUAGAUGUUUUGACUUUCCUCUCCUCAAAUUUCACUAUUUUUUUAGGAUCACGCGGGUAUCUUGGAAUCGUUCCGAUGGUUUUGUGACGAGAACAUUGUUAUUGGUGCC